ACGAACGCUGGCGGCAUGCCUAACACAUGCAAGUCGAACGAAGCCUUCGGGCUUAGUGGCGCACGGGUGCGUAACACGUGGGAAUCUGCCCUUCGGUUCGGAAUAACAGUUAGAAAUGACUGCUAAUACCGGAUGAUGUCUUCGGACCAAAGAUUUAUCGCCGAGGGAUGAGCCCGCGUAGGAUUAGCUUGUUGGUGGGGUAAUGGCCUACCAAGGCGACGAUCCUUAGCUGGUCUGAGAGGAUGAUCAGCCACACUGGGACUGAGACACGGCCCAGACUCCUACGGGAGGCAGCAGUGGGGAAUAUUGGACAAUGGGCGAAAGCCUGAUCCAGCAAUGCCGCGUGAGUGAUGAAGGCCUUAGGGUUGUAAAGCUCUUUUACCAGGGAUGAUAAUGACAGUACCUGGAGAAUAAGCUCCGGCUAACUCCGUG
rnacentral:rRNA from 1 species